AUGAAUGAUGAUUUAGCUCCAGUGCUUCGUGAACCAGAUAAAUGUGCUGUGGUGUUCUUCAAUGAUAUCCUAGUAUUUAGUAUUACAUUGGAGGACCACUUGCGCCAUUUGAAGCAAGUGUUGGACCUAUUGCAGGAGCACCAAUGGAAAAUCAAAGGGUCUAAAUGUGCGUUUGCACAACGCAUCAUUUCUUAUCUGGGCUUUGUGGUGUCUGAGGAAGGCAUAGCUACUGACCCUGCUAAGAUUGAGGUGGUAGUCAACUGGCCUGUACCUGCUAAUUUGAAGGAACUUCGUGGUUUUUUGGGGCUAUCUAGCUACUACCGGAAGUUUGUUCGCCACUAUGGUAUGAUCAGCCAGCCAUUGACUCAUCUCCUGCAUAAAAAUAUUCCAUUUGUGUGGUCUUCUGAAGCUCAGUCAGCAUUUGAUCAACUGAAGCGAGCCCUCACAACAGCACCUGUACUGUCACUCCCUAAUUUUCAGAAACAGUUCGUAAUUGAGACUGAUGCUUGUGAUACCGGAGUGGGUGCAGUACUACUUCAGGGUGGCCACCCUCUUGCAUUUGUGAGCAAAGGAUUGGGCCCCAGAACCAAGGGUCUGUCUACAUAUGAAAAAGAGUAUAUGGCCGUGCUUCUUGCAGUGGAACGAUGGAGAACUUAUUUACAACAUGCUGAAUUCCUAAUACUUACUGACCAUAGCAGUUUAGCACACUUGGAAGACCAGAGGUUACACACUAUUUGGCAGCAGAAAGUGUUCACAAAAUUGCUUGGACUCCAAUUCAAGAUCAGGUACAAAAAAGGCAUUGACAACCGUGCCGCGGAUGCAUUAUCUCGCAGACCACACUUAGGGGAGGACCUUCUUGCUAUAUCUUCGCACCAGCCAGCUUGGAUACAGGAAAUAUUGGAUGUGUAUCAGGAUAGUGCUGAAGCAAGUGAACUUUUGGUCAAAUUGGCAGUACAGCAGUCUGGAAAUGAUCCAUUUUCUCUUCGAGAUGGUCUGAUCCGUUACAAAGGUCGAUUAUGGCUUCCUCCUGAUGUGGAUCUGAUUCCUAAAUUACUUGAUGCAUUUCAUACAAGUCCGAUUGGGGGCCACUCGGGUAUU
rnacentral:rRNA from 1 species